AGUUAAAAUUAUAGCCAAACAAACCUAAACUACCAAAAAACAAAACAAACCAUUUAAUUUAAUAGUAUGGGCGAUAGAAAUUUAUUAUGAGCAAUAAAAAAAAGUACCGUAAGGGAAAGAUGAAAUAAAAAUGAAAUAAAUAAUAAAAACAAAAGAAAGAAAAGACUAAACCCUGUACCUUUUGCAUAAUGGUCUAGCAAGUCCAACCUAACAAAAAGAAAUAAAGUUAGCCACCCCGAAACUAGACGAGCUACUUAAGAGCAGCAUUAACCAGAGCCAACCCGUCUCUGUGGCAAAAGAGUGGGAUGACUUUUGAGUAGAGGUGAAAAGCCUAACGAGCCUAGUGAUAGCUGGUUACUUGAGAAAUGAAUAUUAGUUCAGCUUAAAGCAUCUUUAUUAUUAAAAAAAUAAAAAUAGCACUUUAAAGUUAAUUAAUAGGGGUACAGCCCUAUUAAUAAAGGAUACAACCUACAUAAUGAAUAAAGAUUAUAUCAACAAAAGAAAUUAACCGCGUAGGCCUAAAAGCAGCCACCACAAGAAAGCGUCAAAGCUCAACUUAACAACCCCCUUAUUAUACUAAUAAAAAAAUCUAAAUUCACAAAACAUAUCAGGCCCAUCUACUAGUAGAUAAGUUUAUACUAGAAUGAGUAACAAGAACAAAUUCUCUACAUGCAAGCGUAAAUCAGAACGAAAGUAUCACUGAUAAUUAACAACUUUAAAUACCCAACAACAAGAAAAACACAUUAAAACAAUUGUUAACCCAACACAGGAGCAUUAAAAAAGAUUUAAAGAUUAAAAAGGAACUCGGCAACCAUAGAGCUCCGCCUGUUUACCAAAAACAUCGCCUCUUGCCCUCCCAAUAUAAGAGGUCCCGCCUGCCCAGUGAUUAAUUUUAACGGCCGCGGUAUCAUGACCGUGCAAAGGUAGCGUAAUCACUUGUCUUUUAAAUAAAGACCUGUAUGAAAGGCAAAACGAAAGCUCAACUGUCUCUUUAAUCUAAUCAGU
rnacentral:rRNA from 1 species